rnacentral:rRNA from 1 species
UACGAAGGGGGCUAGCGUUGCUCGGAAUCACUGGGCGUAAAGGGUGCGUAGGCGGGUCUUUAAGUCAGGGGUGAAAUCCUGGAGCUCAACUCCAGAACUGCCUUUGAUACUGAAGAUCUUGAGUUCGGGAGAGGUGAGUGGAACUGCGAGUGUAGAGGUGAAAUUCGUAGAUAUUCGCAAGAACACCAGUGGCGAAGGAGGCUCACUGGCCCGGUACUGACGCUGAGGCACGAAAGCGUGGGGAGCAAACAGG